AGUUCACUGACGAGUCCAAAAUAGGACGAAAUAAGCCACGAAAU
rnacentral:hammerhead_ribozyme from 1 species